rnacentral:tRNA from 2 species
GCUUCCGUAGCUCAGUUGGUUAGAGCUUCGUACUAAUAUUUCCGCCUCAACAGCGAAAUCUUGGUAAUGCGAAGGUCGCAGGUUCAAGCCCUGCCGGGAGCA